ensembl:rRNA 5S_rRNA 5S ribosomal RNA
GUCUAUGGCUAUACCACCCUGAAUACGCCUGAUCCCAUCUGAUCUCAGAUGGUAAGUAGGGUCAGGCCUGGUUUGUACUUGGAUGGGAGACUGCUUGGGAACGCUAAGUGCUGUAGGCU